UCACUGGUCACUGAGCUGGCAAGCUAAUGUUAGGUAGUUAGUCAUAGAAAUGUACGUUCAGCCUGUGAAUUAUUUCAGUCCGAUUUGACUUAUAUUAAGAAGUCAGCAUGGUUUAACAGUUUCUUUCGUUUUUGACCUCGACAUUGUUGCUGGAUAGAUACUUUCAUAUCUAACAUGCUGGUGAUGCCUCACUCUAGUUCCCGAUAGAGUAGCAUACUGGUAACCAUGAUUGACAUAGGAAGAACAAUGAUUCCAAGCACCACCCUCCUUUUGAAGCUUCCAGUCUGUUAUUCGACCUCAAUCAGCAUGACAGAGUGAUCUCCAGCUUUGUCCUCGUCAAUACUCACACCUGUGUUUACGAGAGAAUCACUGACAUGAUGUCAGCUGGUCCUUUUGUGGCAGGGCUGAAAUGCAGUGGAAAUGUUUUGGGGGGGAUUCAGUUCAUUUGCAUGGCAAAAAGGGACUUUGCAAUUCAUUGCAAUUCAUCUGAUCACUCUUCAUAACAUUCUGGAGUUUAUGCAAAUUGCCAUCAUACAAACUGAGGCAGCAGACUUGAAAACGUGAAAAUUCAUAUUUGUGUCAUUCUCUGAACUUUUGCCCACAACUGUACAGUCAAUAAUAAUAGAACAAUCUAUAUACAGUGUGUUGAAAUGGAGUAAGGAGGUAAGGCAAUAAAUAGGCCAUAGUAGCAAAGUAAUUACAAUUUAGCAAAUUGUGUGGUUUUGUGGCAGAUUUUCAAAAGAAAGACAUAUGGCAUAUCACCAGUAAUUCUCAAUCAGAUGAGAUACACAGCUAACCCAUAUUGAAUUUCAUUCAUAAAUGUGGACGCUAAUUAUUGUUAAUAUUCCAAUUCUCUAGGCCCUCCAUUCCCAAACUUGAAGCCCCCUAUCGCCAACUGGAAAGACCAGGAAAAAGUGGUGGCUUAAGAUCUGCCAACCUGCUCGGUGGGUGACAGGUAACCGUCUUUCCACCAAGCUGUUCCAGGCCUGGAGUGGCACGUUGGAACUUCCAGAGGCUUGUAGACCUGAAGCGGUGUGAUGUGGUCCAGAUCUGACACCCCUAUUAGCUCAACCACAAUCUUCACAGCUGCAGUCGUCUGCAUCUGAUACACCGGCCACGACAGGUGACACAGAUCUGCCAUGCCCAGCAGUCCACUGCUGUAGUAUUUAAAUUUACCGGCUGCACCAGUUUCUACUCCACUGGCUGUGAAGGGAGAAACUUUUGAGGAUUCCCAGAUGGAUACAGAUCUGCCAUGCACUCCACCACUGCCUGACAACCUCACCCAGAAGUGCAUACACUGGGCCUUUCAAGACUGACAAAGCAGAGAUGGGUGGCUGACAAGGAAAAAUAAAACAACACGCGCACACACACACUUUAUCCACAAUGUAAAUACGUUGUAAUUGCUUGCUUAUUUAAUGUUUGCUCCAUUUUAUUUUAGGAUUGGAGAUAUCUACUCCUAUAUAUCCAUUAUCAAUGUCUGCAUAAUUACUCUAAAUAUUAUAAAAUACUAUGUGUACAGUUUUAGGAAAUUCUGUGUACAUUUUUCUGAGUUGAAAAACAUGCCUCCCUCUCACACAGACACACACUACACCCAAUGUAAAUAAAUUGCAAUAACUUGUUUAAUGUAUGUAUGCUCCACUUUAUUUUAGGAAAAUAUCUGUAAUAAAGUACAUUCACA